rnacentral:rRNA from 1 species
AGUGAACGCUGGCGGUAGGCCUAACACAUGCAAGUCGAACGGCAGCACAGGAGAGCUUGCUCUCUGGGUGGCGAGUGGCGGACGGGUGAGGAAUACAUCGGAAUCUACUCUGUCGUGGGGGAUAACGUAGGGAAACUUACGCUAAUACCGCAUACGAUCUACGGGUGAAAGCAGGGGACCUUCGGGCCUUGCGCGAUUGAAUGAGCCGAUGUCGGAUUAGCUAGUUGGCGGGGUAAAGGCCCACCAAGGCGACGAUCCGUAGCUGGUCUGAGAGGAUGAUCAGCCAACAUGGAACUGGGAAACGGUCCAAACUCCGACGGGAGGCAGGAGUGGGGAAUAUUGGACAAUGGGCGCAAGCCUGAUCCAGCAUACCGCGUGGGUGAAGAAGGCCUUCGGGUUGUAAAGCCCUUUUGUUGGGAAAGAAAUCCAGCUGGCUAAUACCCGGUUGGGAUGACGGUACCUAAAGAAUAAGCACCGGCUAACUUCGUGCCAGCCGCCGCAGUAA